GUCGCGUACGGGUUAAGGUGAUGGACUGCUAAUCCAUUGUGCAUUGCACGCAUGGGUUCGAAUCCCAUC
rnacentral:tRNA from 1 species